rnacentral:rRNA from 1 species
GGUUAAGCGAAUAAGCGUACACGGUGGAUGCCUAGGCAAUCAGAGGCGAUGAAGGACGUGCUAAUCUGCGAAAAGCGUCGGUAAGGUGAUAUGAACCGUUAUACCCGACGAUAUCCGAAUGGGGAAACCCAGUAUCCAAUGGAUACUAUCAUUAACUGAAUCCAUAGGUUAAUGAGGCGAACCGGGAGAACUGAAACAUCUCAGUACCCCGAGGAAAAGAAAUCAACCGAGAUUCCCCUAGUAGCGGCGAGCGAACGGGGAGCAGCCCAGAGUCUUAAUCAAUAACAGUGUCAGGAGAACGGUCUGGAAAGUCCGGCAGUAAAGGGUGAUAGCCCCGUAUCUGAAGAUGCUGUUAUUGUGAACUCGACGAGUAGGGCGGGACACGUGUUAUCCUGUCUGAAUAUGGGGGGACCAUCCUCCAAGGCUAAAUACUCCUGAUUGACCGAUAGUGAACCAGUACCGUGAGGGAAAGGCGAAAAGAACCCCGGCGAGGGGAGUGAAAAAGAACCUGAAACCGUGUACGUACAAGCAGUAGGAGCCUCUUUAUGGGGUGACUGCGUACCUUUUGUAUAAUGGGUCAGCGACUUAUAUUCUGUAGCAAGGUUAACCGUAUAGGGGAGCCGUAGGGAAACCGAGUCUUAACUGGGCGAAUGAGUUGCAGGGUAUAGACCCGAAACCCGGUGAUCUAUCCAUGGGCAGGUUGAAGGUUGGGUAACACUAACUGGAGGACCGAACCGACUAAUGUUGAAAAAUUAGCGGAUGACUUGUGGAUGGGGGUGAAAGGCCAAUCAAACCGGGAGAUAGCUGGUUCUCCCCGAAAGCUAUUUAGGUAGCGCCUCGUGAACUCAUCUUCGGGGGUAGAGCACUGUUUCGACUAGGGGGUCAUCCCGACUUACCAACUCGAUGCAAACUGCGAAUACCGAAGAAUGUUAUCACGGGAGACACACGGCGGGUGCUAACGUCCGUCGUGAAGAGGGAAACAACCCAGACCGCCAGCUAAGGUCCCAAAGUCAUGGUUAAGUGGGAAACGAAGUGGGAAGGCUCAGACAGCCAGGAUGUUGGCUUAGAAGCAGCCAUCAUUUAAAGAAAGCGUAAUAGCUCACUGGUCGAGUCGGCCCGCGCGGAAGAUGUAACGGGGCUAAACCAUGCACCGAAGCUGCGGCAGCGACACAUAGUGUUGUUGGGUAGGGGAGCGUUCUGUAAGCCUGCGAAGGUGUACUGUGAGGUAUGCUGGAGGUAUCAGAAGUGCGAAUGCUGACAUAAGUAACGAUAAUGCGGGUGAAAAACCCGCACGCCGGAAGACCAAGGGUUCCUGUCCAACGUUAAUCGGGGCAGGGUGAGUCGACCCCUAAGGCGAGGCUGAAAAGCGUAGUCGAUGGGAAACGGGUUAAUAUUCCCGUACUGGUGGUAACUGCGAUGGGGGAACGGAGAAGGCUAGGUUGUCCGGGCGACGGUCGUCCCGGUUCAAGCAGGUAGGCAGAGUGAUUAGGCAAAUCCGGUCACUUAAUGCUGAGAUGUGAUGACGAACCACCAAGGUGGUGAAGCAAUUGAUGCCCCGCUUCCAGGAAAAGCCUCUAAGCUUCAGGUUACCAACAAUCGUACCCCAAACCGACACAGGUGGUCAGGUAGAGAAUACUCAGGCGCUUGAGAGAACUCGGGUGAAGGAACUAGGCAAAAUGGUGCCGUAACUUCGGGAGAAGGCACGCUGGCGGUAGGUAAAGUCCCUUGCGGACGGCGCUGAAGCCAGUCGAAGAUACCAGCUGGCUGCAACUGUUUAUUAAAAACACAGCACUGUGCAAACACGAAAGUGGACGUAUACGGUGUGACGCCUGCCCGGUGCUGGAAGGUUAAUUGAUGGGGUCAGCCGCAAGGCGAAGCUCCUGAUCGAAGCCCCAGUAAACGGCGGCCGUAACUAUAACGGUCCUAAGGUAGCGAAAUUCCUUGUCGGGUAAGUUCCGACCUGCACGAAUGGCGUAAUGAUGGCCAGGCUGUCUCCACCCGAGACUCAGUGAAAUUGAACUCGCUGUGAAGAUGCAGUGUACCCGCGGCAAGACGGAAAGACCCCGUGAACCUUUACUAUAGCUUGACACUGAACAUUGAGCCUUGAUGUGUAGGAUAGGUGGGAGGCUUUGAAGUGUGGACGCCAGUCUGCAUGGAGCCAACCUUGAAAUACCACCCUUUAACGUUUGAUGUUCUAACCUAGGCCCAUAAACUGGGUCGGGGACCGUGUCUGGUGGGUAGUUUGACUGGGGCGGUCUCCUCCUAAAGAGUAACGGAGGAGCACGAAGGUUGGCUAAGCAUGGUCGGACAUCAUGCGGUUAGUGCAAAGGCAUAAGCCAGCUUGACUGCGAGAGUGACGGCUCGAGCAGGUACGAAAGUAGGUCUUAGUGAUCCGGUGGUUCUGAAUGGAAGGGCCAUCGCUCAACGGAUAAAAGGUACUCCGGGGAUAACAGGCUGAUACCGCCCAAGAGUUCAUAUCGACGGCGGUGUUUGGCACCUCGAUGUCGGCUCAUCACAUCCUGGGGCUGAAGUAGGUCCCAAGGGUAUGGCUGUUCGCCAUUUAAAGUGGUACGCGAGCUGGGUUUAGAACGUCGUGAGACAGUUCGGUCCCUAUCUGCCGUGGGCGUUGGAAGAUUGAGAGGGGUUGCUCCUAGUACGAGAGGACCGGAGUGAACGCACCACUGGUGUUCGGGUUGUCAUGCCAAUGGCAUUGCCCGGUAGCUAAGUGCGGAAGAGAUAACCGCUGAAAGCAUCUAAGCGGGAAACUUGCCUCGAGAUGAGUCUUCCCUGUCGCUUUAAGCGACCUAAAGGAACGUUUAAGACUAAGACGUUGAUAGGCUGGGUGUGUAAGCGUAGCGAUACGUUGAGCUAACCAGUACUAAUGAACCGUGAGGCUUAACCUG